rnacentral:lncRNA from 1 species
AAAAGGCUCUCAACCUCUCCCCUCUCCUCCGGGCACCGGCCUAAGGCCCGGUCAUCGGCCACCGUGCCGGCCGCCGAUCUCCGGUGCCAGCACCGCCGUAUACGUUCGCCGAAAAAGGGAGAAUCUCAGAUCCGGUCCCUUCGAAGCCCCUAAACGCAAAUCCGAGCUCAAAACCCUCAAAAGAUUCGAAGAAACACCUCAAAAGCCCAAGAAACCUUUUGAUUUCCGACCGUCUUUCCUCGGAGACGGUUCCUCGGCCGUUCACGGCGAUCAGGGCUUAAAACUCAGGUUAUUUCUUUCUUUUUUGUAUUUAUAUUAUUUAUAUGUAUAUAAAUGAUAAAAAUAAAUACAUAUAACAGAAAAAUAAAAUAGAACUAGAAGUAUCAACCUUUAAUCGAUUAUGCUCUCUGUAUUGCGAAAAUAAAAGCUUCUGUUUUUAUUUGAUUUUCGAAUUCACCUCCCUAUUACAGUGUGUUCAGAUUGCUUUUAUAGCCAUCGUAAAAUAUACAAAGAAAUCUGCUAAUAUCUAUUUGAUUUGAUUUCGAAAUCUUUGAUUUUCUUUCCUUUCUUGUGUUUGUAGGUGAAGAUCGUGUGGAGAUUCGGCCUUUGGGGAAGGUUUGAGUUGCGGCGCUACUGAUCCUUAGAAACCCUAGGGUUUCUUCAUCUAUUUUGGGCCACCGAGUUUCAGGCCUCUGCUUUGUUUUGGUUUGGGCCUUGUGGCCCGUUUGUAAUCGGACAUUGUAUUUGUUUUUAUUUAUUUGGUGCGGGCCAGGUAAAAAUUGGGUAUUACAAGAAUGAUUCAAACACAAUGAGGGUAACUCCCUCUACCUCUCUCAACAUGUUAAGUGUAGCUUCAACAUCAUUUUCCAAGUCAGGUUUAAUCUUCAAAUCUCUCAAAGACUUGUUCAUUCACUUCUUUGCUUUCUUCCUUGAGGCUAAGUAUCCCUUAGCUUCAGUAAUAAUUUCAGCUUCAUCACCUUUUUUUCUCAAAAUUGAUUGAAGUUUCUGGGUAUCUUCCUUGGCCUGCAAUAAAGCAGACUUGGCUACACCACACACAUCCAAGAGCCUGAGAGACCCAUUCAACAACUCAUCAACCUGUUUAUCAGUGCAUUGUUGGGCUAAGGAAUU